rnacentral:rRNA from 1 species
ACUAGGAAUUUUGCGCAAUGGGGGCAACCCUGACGCAGCGACACAGCGUGGAGGAGGAAGGUCUUCGGAUUGUAAACUCCUUUUAUAUGGGAAGAAUAGAUGACUGUACCAUAUGAAUAAGCACCUGCUAACUACGUGCCAGAAGCAUCGGUGAUGCGUAGGGUGCGAACGUUAUCCGGAUUUAUUGGGCGUAAAGAGAUGCGUAGGCGUUUCAGUUAGUCUUUCGUUAAAAGUCACGGCUUAACCGUGAAGAUGCGUUGGAUACUGCUGAAAUUGAAACAUGAAGAGGUGAACGGAACUCCAAGUGGAGCGGUGAAAUGCGUUGAUAUUUGGAAGAACAGCAGAGGCGAAGGCGGUUCACUGGUCAUUGUCUGACGCUAAGGCUCGAAAGCGUGGGUAGCAAAACGGGUUAGAAACCCCUGUAGUCC